rnacentral:misc_RNA from 1 species
ACAACCACUUCACAUCUACUGUGGUAUUGACUGAUGUGGACGGCACUUGCGGUGCUUGUCCCACUCAGCCGAAAUGUAUAGGCCAGAGAAGCAAACCAUGGCACCAGACUCACAGAGUAUUAUACAAUGCUAAACUAGUCAGGUAGCGGGUUGAAAUCUGUGCCACUGGACCCCCCGUUCAUCGAAUUCAUAGA